GAUGAGCGCUGGCGGCGUGCCUAAUACAUGCAAGUCGAGCGAACGGACGAGAAGCUUGCUUCUCUGAUGUUAGCGGCGGACGGGUGAGUAACACGUGGAUAACCUACCUAUAAGACUGGGAUAACUUCGGGAAACCGGAGCUAAUACCGGAUAAUAUUUUGAACCGCAUGGUUCAAAAGUGAAAGACGGUCUUUCUGUCACUUAUAGAUGGAUCCGCGCUGCAUUAGCUAGUUGGUAAGGUAACGGCUUACCAAGGCGACGAUGCAUAGCCGACCUGAGAGGGGGAUCGGCCACACGGGAGCUGAGACGGGGUCCAGGCUCCUACGAGAGGCAGCAGAAGGGAAUGUUCCGCAAUGGGGGAGAGCCUGACGGAGCAACGCGGCGUGAGUUAUGAAGGUGUUCGGAUCGUGAAGCUCUGUUAUUAGGUGUGAACAUAUGUGUACGGAACUGUGCACAUAUUGACGGUACCUGGUCAGAAAGCCACGGCUAACUACGUG
rnacentral:rRNA from 1 species